rnacentral:rRNA from 1 species
GACGAACGCUGGCGGCGUGCUUAACACAUGCAAGUCGAGCGGAAAGGCCCUUCGGGGUACUCGAGCGGCGAACGGGUGAGUAACACGUGAGUAAUCUGCCCUUCACUCUGGGAUAGCCACCGGAAACGGUGAUUAAUACCGGAUACGACCACCGUGGGCAUCCACUGGUGGUGGAAACUUUUUUGGGUGGGGGAUGUGCUCGCGGCCUAUCAGCUUGUUGGUGGGGUAAGGGCCUACCAAGGCUUCGACGGGUAGCCGGCCUGAGAGGGUGACGGGCCAGGCGGGGGCUGAGACACGGCCCAGACUCCUACGGGAGGCAGCAGUGGGGAAGAUUGGACAAUGGGCGGAAGCGUGAUCCAGCAACGCCGCGUGAGGGAUGACGGCCGUCGGGUUGUAAACCUCUUUCAGCACCGACGAAGCGCAAGUGACGGUAGGUGCAGAAGAAGGACCGGCCAACUACGUGCCAGCCGCCGCGGUAACAC